rnacentral:rRNA from 1 species
GACGAACGCUGGCGGCGUGCUUAACACAUGCAAGUCUUACGAGAAAAGGGUAGCAAUAUCCUGAGUAAAGUGGCGCACGGGUGAGUAACACGUAGGCAAUUUGCCUUUAGGACGGGAACAACCCCGGGAAACCGGGGCUAAUACCCGAUGAUGCAGCGGCUCCGCAUGGAGACAGUUGUUAAACCCCGCAAGGGGCCUAUUGAUGAGCCUGCGUCUGAUUAGCUAGUUGGUGAGGUAACGGCCCACCAAGGCAACGAUCAGUAGCUGGUCUGAGAGGAUGAUCAGCCACACUGGAACUGAGACACGGUCCAGACUCCUACGGGAGGCAGCAGUGAGGAAUAUUGCGCAAUGGCCGAAAGGCUGACGCAGCGACGCCGCGUGAAGGAUGAAGUUCGUUAGAAUGUAAACUUCUUUUGUAGGGGAUGAAUGUUCCGUUUUACGGAAUUGACCGUACCCUGCGAAUAAGGAUCGGCUAACUACGUGCCAGCAGCCGCGGUAAUACGUAGGAUCCGAGCGUUGUCCGGAAUUACUGGGUGUAAAGGGCGUGUAGGUGGGUCUCUAAGUCGGUGGUGAAAUCUUGCAGCUUAACUGUAAAAUUGCCAUCGAUACUGGAGGUCUUGAGUACGGCAGAGGGAAAUAGAAUUCAUGGUGUAGCGGUGAAAUGUGUAGAUAUCAUGAAGAAUACCGGCAGCGAAGGCGGUUUCCUGGUCCGUAACUGACACUGAGGCGCGAAAGCGUGGGGAGCAAA